UGAGGAAUAUUGGUCAAUGGUCGCGAGACUGAACCAGCCAAGUAGCGUGCAGGACGACGGCCCUCCGGGUUGUAAACUGCUUUUAGUUGGGAAUAAAAGGGCGUACGUGUACGCCGAAUUGUAUGUACCAUCAGAAAAAGGACCGGCUAAUUCCGUGCCAGCAGCCGCGGUAAUACGGAAGGUCCGGGCGUUAUCCGGAUUUAUUGGGUUUAAAGGGAGCGUAGGCGGGUUUUUAAGUCAGUUGUGAAAGUCUGCGGCUCAACCGUAGAAUUGCAGUUGAAACUGGAAGCCUUGAGUGCACGCAGGGGUGCCGGAAUUCAUGGUGUAGCGGUGAAAUGCUUAGAUAUCAUGAAGAACUCCGAAAGCGAAGGCAAGUGCCCGGAGUGCAACUGACGCUGAGGCUCGAAAGUGCGGGUAUCAAACAGG
rnacentral:rRNA from 1 species